UCUGUCCCGUGAUCCGGGACGAGGACCGUGUCUGGUGGGUAGUUUGACUGGGGCGGUCUCCUCCUAAAGAGUAACGGAGGAGUACGAAGGUGCGCUCAGCGUGGUCGGAAAUCACGCGUAGAGUAUAAAGGCAAAAGCGCGCUUAACUGCGAGACCCACAAGUCGAGCAGGUACGAAAGUAGGUCUUAGUGAUCCGGUGGUUCUGUAUGGAAGGGCCAUCGCUCAACGGAUAAAAGGUACUCUGGGGAUAACAGGCUGAUACCGCCCAAGAGUUCAUAUCGACGGCGGUGUUUGGCACCUCGAUGUCGGCUCAUCUCAUCCUGGGGCUGAAGCAGGUCCCAAGGGUAUGGCUGUUCGCCAUUUAAAGAGGUACGCGAGCUGGGUUUAGAACGUCGUGAGACAGUUCGGUCCCUAUCUACCGUGGGCGCUGGAAAUUUGAGAGGAUCUGCUCCUAGUACGAGAGGACCAGAGUGGACGAACCUCUGGUGUACCGGUUGUGACGCCAGUCGCAUCGCCGGGUAGCUAUGUUCGGAAGGGAUAACCGCUGAAAGCAUCUAAGCGGGAAGCCUACCUCAAGAUAAGAUUUCCCUAGGACUUUAUGUCCUCUAAAGAGCCGUUCGAGACUAGGACGUUGAUAGGUUGGAUGUGGAAGCAUAGUGAUAUGUGAAGCUGACCAAUACUAAUUGCUCGUGAGGCUUGACUAUACAACACCCAAGCAGUUG
rnacentral:rRNA from 1 species